rnacentral:SRP_RNA from 7 species
GCCGGGCGCGGUGGCGCACGCCUGUAGUCCCAGCUACUCGGGAGGCUGAGACAGGAGGAUCGCUUGAGUCCAGGAGUUCUGGGCUGUAGUGCGCUAUGCCGAUCGGGUGUCCGCACUAAGUUCGGCAUCAAUAUGGUGACCUCCCGGGAGCGGGGGACCACCAGGUUGCCUAAGGAGGGGUGAACCGGCCCAGGUCGGAAACGGAGCAGGUCAAAACUCCCGUGCUGAUCAGUAGUGGGAUCGCGCCUGUGAAUAGCCACUGCACUCCAGCCUGGGCAACAUAGCGAGAC